AACCCCAUUCGGGUUUAAAUUGGAACGAUACAGAGAAAAUUAGCAUGACCCCUUUGUGCAAGGAUAACAUGCAUAAAUUGAGAAAAUAACACAUCCCAA
rnacentral:snRNA from 2 species